UCUCUGAGCCUUGGCCUCCUCUUCCUCUUGGUCUCGGUUAUAAAUGGUGGUGGUGGCUGCUGCCAAGAGCUCCUCCGAGAAGGUGUUAGACGUCGUGUGAGCUGUUGGAGCUUUCUCUGGGUGUCUGGAGCAGAUUGGUGCCUCCUUUUGGCUGCGGUUCCCAAGUGGACAGCAGAGUCGCAGAGGCCACCCUCCUGAUGGUCCCCUGCACACUGGCCCUUGACGGAGGCUGUGGAGGAACAGCGGUGACAAGCGAAGGCGACGGCCCCAGGUGCUGUCUCACCAGGUCCUGCCUGUGGCUGUCUGAGGCACACGUGAUGCAGACUCAAUAGGCCUCCUCUCAACUCUGGGGUCUCCAGUAGCUGCCUGCUCCCUGGCCUACCGUGAGUCCGUGAAGCCCCUCGUGGCCUAUCUGCCCCUCAUUCACCUCUGCCCCUCA